rnacentral:rRNA from 1 species
UACGAGAGGCCCAAACGUUAUUCGGAAUUACUGGGCUUAAAGAGUUCGUAGGCGGUAUGAAAAGCAGGGUGUGAAAGCCCUCGGCUCAACCGAGGAAUUGCGCUCUGAACUGUCGUUCUAGAGGAAUCUAGAGGUGAGCGGAACUGAUGGUGGAGCGGUGAAAUGCGUUGAUAUCAUCAGGAACACCGGAGGCGAAGGCGGCUCACUGGGGAUUUUCUGACGCUGAGGAACGAAAGCCAGGGGAGCGAACGGG